UCCUCCUUCCUUCAUUCGUGUGCUUUCACUCGACUCCCUCAUUUUCCACUUGACUUCUUCUCUAGCCGUCAAAGCUUUUCUUCUUCGUUCAAAAUCAAAAUGGUCAAAGCCACCGCUGGCUUCCACAGUCACGAUCACUCUCGCUGUGAAAGCCACUAUCGGAUCUCUCUUCCUCGAAGAUCAGUAGAUCUCUUCUCUUGGAAGCUUCGUCCUUCAUUUUGCAUCCAAUCUGCGUAGAUACGUGCAUAAAAGGAUAAUCCAAGAAGUUGAGUGCCUCUUCGAGUCCAACUUUGUCGAGGAUCUAACUUCCCUUGCCUUCCUGUUAGCUGACGUCAUCUUUGCCGAUGGUAGUCCCAACUGUUACCCUCUCUUGAAUAUCGCCAACGCUCUUUGGAAAUGUUAUGGACAUGAUUUUCAUAUAGGAACUCCCAAGGUGUGUCUGUUUCUGGUAACGAUAUUGUCUACCUCCUUACUUAUUCUUACUGUUUCGUAUCGUGACAUCUAUCAUCCAAUUUUACCAUCUGACUCAAAGUUCCCGAGUUUGAACCUAUUAGUGUGUGUGGGUGUGAGUGUUCACUAUUUGGAUUCUAGAUUCUGCUUUGUUGUUGAAGCUCUAUUUUGGUAGAUCAGACUUCAUAUACGUAUUCUACUCUUUGAAGUGCUUUGUGUUUCAUUGAGUCGGAGUUUUUGUCUUUCUUCAUUCAAGGUUGAAAGGGCUGAGAAUAGCUUCACCACAAAUUAUUCCGUUAAGUUUUAGUGUAGGAAUUGGCUGGCUGUGCAUAAAUACAAAUGGAUAAUCAACAAACAAGUCAUUUGCCGAGUGAGAAAUUCACAUGGAGAAUUGAAAACUCCUCUAGGUUAAACUUUGAGAAGUUCUAUUCCAAGACUUUCAUCAUGGGCGAGUAUCCAUGGAGAAUUCUCAUAUGUCCUAAAGGGAACAAUGUGGACUACUUGUCUUUAUAUUUGGAUGCUGUGGAUUCCACGAGUUUACCUUCUGGUUGGUCCAGAUAUGCAUGUUUCAGCUUGGCUGUAAUUACGGCCGAAGAAUGAAUCAUGUCACUAGAGCUGAAUUCUCCUGACCAUAAGUAUUUCAAUCCACUGUACAAAGUUAGCAAGUGAAAUAAGACGUGUUAAAUGUCAGCCCAUUUUCUGCCCUUAAAGUCCUAGCCAUUUUUUUUUGACCAUCCUUUCUCGAUUCAAAGUUCAAUUCAAAUAUCGAUAUUGCUUGUUUGACUUGCGCUUUUAAUUGGUGCUCGUGCAAAACAGAGGUUUUAGAAGUCUCUAGAAAUACAUUUGAUGUAUUCUGAUCGACGCUAGUUGUCAUGAUUCCAUCCUAUGGUUUGUUGGUAUUUUAGUGUUGCGGUGCUGCUGCUCUGGCACUUUGACCGUGGAUGCCGUCAGUGCUGAUGGUGUGUUUCUUUUCCAGGAAACUUCGCUCACUGCCAAACUAAAUAACCCUUUCUACCUAAAUCGCUUCUAUCAUGACUCACCGUUUCUUGAUGCACUUUUUGAAGAUUAAAGAUGUAACACACAAGAACUUUUUUUGGGUGAUGAGCUGCUCUUCGACCUCUUUCACUAUUGAUGUCGUUGGUGCCUAUCAUGGGUCUUUUGUCCUAGAAAGUUUGCUUAUUGCUAAACUUUCAAAACCUUUCAUUCAUGAUCGCCACUGGUUUAUGGGUUCUAUCGUGAGUGAUCUUUGUCUCUUGCAAUUUCCGAAGCUGAAAGAAAUGGAUACAAGAAUGGUAGAUUUUGGGGCAUCCUUAAAUUCAGCAGAAGUUUUUGGAAUACCAACAAUUUCUGACUUAAGGAAUGGUCAAUCCUUUAAAGAAGGUAUGAAAUUUUUAUUUAAAUUUAUUCCUCAUUUUUAAUGCAUCUAUCAUAUAAAGCAGUUUCUCUAACAACAAUAGAAAACAACUCCAUCCACUACAUAUUGACAAACAACAACCUUUUCAUGUUAUAUGUGCACGCGCGCACAUUAUGAACUCCUUCUGUGAAACUGUCUGUCAGAUGCACUAGAUGAAACAUGAAUGAUUGUAACUUGGACAACCUAAGGAGAAUCAAUGGCUAGAGAAGUUACUAGGUCUAUGUAACUUAGUAAUGAAGAACAAGUGGAAUAUAACGUUGUUGGUUAGAGACGUCUAUUGUUAGGCAAAUGAGGCAAUUGCCUUAGGCUUCAAAAAUUUUUUCUUAUACUCUGUGUAAUUCAGCUCAUUAUUUUUCUUGUUAAGUGUUACUAUUAAUUACAUCUUUUCAUUAACAAUUCAUCGAUCGUCUUACAUUUCAUUGUAUCUAUCAUUCUCAUUCCAUAAUAUCAAUUAGCCAUUCAGAGAGGUAACAUUAACAUACUACCGCAAUAAAUAGAAUGGAUGGGACCACUUUGUUAGCAUCUAACUCUCUCUUCCUUUCAAUUGAAUUACUGCUAUCAUCAUUUUUUUAAAAGUAAAUAUUACUAUGGUGCUCAAACUUGUUGCAUUGUCACUCAUUUGCCAAAUAAUUUCCUCUUAUUGGAAUAUUUAGCUAGCUAUCUAAUUGAACUUAAAACAAAAAACACCAAUAAUAGAUUUAAGGUGGUGGAUACUUCAGGUGUAUUUGUUAUACUUUUACUGUUUAUAUUACUUUUUGUCUAAAAUUAUGAUUGUUUUUUAAAUUUUUUAUAGCAUUUAGAGUUGUAAAAAUGUCAGCUACAAAAUUUGAAUAUAGGCCUCUCAAAAUAAUUGUCUUAGGCCCUAGAACUUUUUCACAUGGCCCUAUUGUUGUUAGUUAAGUAAUUAUUGUAAGAUUUCAAUUAUCAAUAUAUAUGUAAAUAUAUUUACAUUUCUUGAAAUAAUAGCUACUUUUACUUACUUAAAUUGUCUGUCCAUUUUACUUUUUUUUUUUUUAAUUCUUCUACUUGUGCUAUAUAGAUGACUUUUUUUUUAACGGCACAGCAUAUAAUUCUGUGAAACAUCAAAGGUGUAGUGAAGUUGAUGCCACAAAUUAUUAAAAAAAAAAAAAAAAACAAACAAACAAAAGGCAAGAAAGAGAAAAAGCAACAUUUUCUUUGAUCUUAAAAAGUGUAUAAUAGUACGUUAGAAUUGUGUGAGGCUUUAAUUAGAAAUAGAAAAUAAAUAUUUAGUGGAUCACAUUCAAAAGCAUUGAACAUGUGCGAACUACAAAGCUAGGGAAGAUAAAGUUAGAGCAGAUGCACAUGCAUGCAUGUUGUGUUACCUACAACCUUUUCUUUGAACAUUAAUUAGUAGGUGUUUGAAUGUGUUCUUUGAAGUGGGUUUUUAUUAAUCUUACAUAAUAAUGAGAUUUGUUUCGGUAUCUAGUGUAUAAUAAGUAGGAGUGUACAAUGUGAAGUGCCAUCAACCAUGGGUCAAAACAAUGCGAAGUUUGUGUAUAUAUGAUUUAGAGUGUAUUGUUCAACUGACUAUUAGACCCUUAUUUAUAGCUGAGACAGGUCAAAGGACAUGUUGCUCCGAUUACUUAACUAUUUCUUAAAUUCUUUUAGUUGCAACCAAACCCAAACAUGUACACACCAAUUUCACGAACUGGUUAUUUUUAAUGUAUUCUCUAAUCAUGUAAGUUUUGUUAGGAACUAUUAAUAGGUUUAUUUAGAAUAUUUGUUUUGUCUAUCUGUGCAUUUAUGGUGGCAUUUUAUAUUCUGUAAACUAUAUAAUGCAAAGUGUGUUGCGGAAAGUACUUGAUAUUAAUUUAUAUAUAGAUCUUAAGUGAUUAUUUGUUUUGGUUGACAUGAAUGUGGUAAUGCUUUUAUCAAUAAGAGUGUUAGGAUUUUGGAAGGACCCAUAUAAUAAAGGUUCUAUUAGAAGUCAGCAGAGGGCUUCUAAUGAUAUUCAUUUAUUCGAGUUGAGGUUAGUUGUAGUAUUGAGUUUUUUUGUGUCUAAUUUAUUACUCAAUGUAAGUGAUUUAUCUGUUAUGUGUGAUAUUUGGGUUAAUUUUUUUAUAGUAUAGUCUUUGCAUGUAGGAAAAGAAAAGUUAGUUAUAGUGAUGAACAUAUAGACAAUUAUCAUAAGUUGCUAGGUUUUUUUAAUUUAAAGUUUUUAUGGUUUUUUUUAGUGUUACUGACAAAUAGUUUUUGUGUUUUUAUGGUACACUAUGGUACAAGAAGGCAAAAGAAAUUAUGAGUGUUGAAUUCUAUUGAGCCGUUGUCAAUGUAUGAAGACAUAAUAGUCGCUGAAUCUAGUAUAGUUCAAGGUUGUGACAUUAUUAUUAAUGAAUCAAGGUGGUAGUUUGUUAUUUUUGAUAUUGAAUGUUUCUAUAUUUUUUGAACCUUUGGCGUGGCUGAAUUAUGCCAUUUUUCUUUUUUCUUUUCAUGUGUAAGAAUGUUGUGAAAGAUAUUGGUCAACCUAUAAAAAGGACUUAAAGAAGGCCUUUUAAAUGUGGCAAGAUUUUUGUGUAAUUUCUUCUGAUGUUGCCUUUUGUAAGAAAUUUUAUUUCUAUUUUUUGUAAUUUAUGAAAGGAGGAGUGUUAUUGUUUGACGUUAAUUUUUAUUUAAUAAUUAGUCAUGGUUUGCUUUUUCAGCAUUUCCAAUGGUCAUAUAUUAGAGCCUUACAUAAAAGAUAAUAUCAGACAAUCUUUUUUUUUGAUAUAAUGAUUGUAUACCUUUCUUUAAUGAGUUAUUUAUAGUAAUUACGUUUUUUAAUAGCUUUGCUAAUGUUGUGAUAAUUGAAUUAAUUUGUAGGAUAUGUUGAUGAAGGAGAUCCAAUUUUUUGUUGUGGUGAAUGUAGUGUUUUGAUGUGGUAUCAUGAAAGGGUUAAACAUGGUUUGUCUGCCAAAUCAUUGCAAUUUGCCCUUUGUUGUUUACAAGGAAAAAAAAAGUUGCCACUUUAGUUGGAGCCACCUAUGUAGUUAAAGCAUUUGUUUUUUGACCAUGAUUCAAGUGAUUCUAUGAAUUUUAUAAAGAAUAUAAGAUGUUAUAAUAAUAUGUUUUCUUUUACUUUGAUGGGAGGCAAAAUAAAGAGUCAUGAUGGACUUAGUCCAUAUUCCUUUACAUUGGAUGGACAAAAUUAUCAACGUAUUGGAAGUCUUCUACUUGAGAGUGGAACUACUCCUGUGUAUUCUCAACUUUAUGUGGUUGACACUAAGAAUGAGAUUGAUAAUCUCAUAGCUAUAGUGAGCUACAAGUAUCUUUUAAGUGGAUAUAUUUAUAAUCAUUUGAAGUGGAUAUAUUAUUUUUCUUUUGUAAUUAUGUUCUUUAUUUUAAUUUGUAGGGUACGCGAUAAAGAGGAUCAUGUAGAUCCAAUUAUUGCAGAGAAACUGAUGUCUUUGUUUGACAAUGUUAAUGUAUUGGUGCAGCUUUACAAAUAUGCUUCUAACAUUGUUACAACCAGUUAUCAAGAUGAUAUUAAAAUACUGUUAUUGAGUGAAAGAUCAGUUGGUCGGAGGAAUUAUGUGUACCUAUGUUUUCUGAUAUUACUGCCCUGAUAAUUGGAGAAUUUGACCAUUCUUAUCAUCUGAGGGAUAUUAUUGUGAGGAAACAGUUUGGUGAAUUUAGGAAAAUUCAUGAGCUUCAUAUGUCGUACUUACCUCUUCAGUUCACAAUUUUGUUUCCAUUUGGUAAUAGAGGGUAUGAAUCUAAUAUUGAGUAUGCAUAUCAAUCUGAGCAUGAAAGUGUGAAGAAAAAAAUGGUUUCUUGAAAAUUACCAAGAUGUUAUGGCUAUUGCUCAAGCUAAAGGUCACCUUGAUUUAUUUUUGACAUUCACAUGUAACCCUGCUUGGCCUAAAUUAAAACAAAUUUGUCAAAUAUAUUCUUCUCUAGCAUCUUGUCGACCAAAUUACAUCGCGAGGAUUUUUUGUUUGAAAUUGCAAUCAUUACUCAAGGUCAUAAAAGAUAAAGAGGCUUUUGGGAUUGUUGAGGCGGGUAACACUACAAACUUGUAAGCUUUUGUCACCCUGAACAAUAUGGGUGUUACUUGAUUAAUUAUGAUAUUAUAUUGUUUGAACUUUGAUUUCUUUUUGUGUUGAUAUCAUUAAAGAUUUUGUUCUUUCCUUUCUUAAUAGUAGUAUUGAGUUUCAAAAGAGAGGCCUCCCUCAUGCUUAUAUUAUACUAUGGCUUGCGAAUAAAGAUAAGAUAAUAACAGCUGAUGCAAUUGAUAAGAUGAUAUUUGCAGAGAUACCUGAUCCUGAUCAGAACCCAGUUUUGCAUGAACUUAUGAAAGAUCAUAUGCUUCAUGGACCAUGUGGCGGUUCUAAUCUUAAGUCUCCUUGUAUGAAAGAUGGAAAAUGUUGUAAAUAUUACGUAAAAAAAUUUCAUUCUAAGACAAUUGUUGAUAAAGAGGGGUAUCGUACUUAUAAGAGAAGGGAUAAUGGUAUAUCAAUAUUGAGGAAAGGAGUUCCUUUAGACAAUCAUUUAUGGUCCCAUAUAAUCCUUACCUUUUACUAAAAUUCCAAUGUCAUUUAAAUGUGGAAAAGACAAAUUAUACUUAUUCUGUUAGGUUUCUUUUCAAAUAUGUUAGUAAAGGGAAUGAUAGAGUUAUUGCUUCUUUUUAUUGAGGGAAUCAGAACAAUGUUCCUAAUGGUUUUCAAGAUGAGAUCAAGCAAUACCGUGAUUGUUGUUAUGUCUCAUCUGGUGAGGGAGCUAGGUGAAUAUUCAGCCUUAAUAUUCAAUACAAGUACCCUUCUGUCAAAAGGCUUACAUUUCAUUUGCCUGACUAGCAACCUGUUUUCUAUUCUAAUUUUUCUAAACUCUAGUCUAUAUUAGGAAGCCCUACUAUUGGGGAGUCCAAGUUGAUUGCUUGGAUGAAGAAUAAUUUUGAUAAUAAAAAUGGGCGUGAUUUGACAUAUGCUGAAUUUUCAUCUAGGUUUGUUUAUAAAGCAAAAAGGGAUCGACUUUGGAAGUAUCGAUAAAGAGGAAUUAAGAUUGAUCAAUUAACUAUUCAUCCUGGUAAUGGGGAAUUUUAUUUUUUGCAAGUAAUGCUUAAUAAGGUUGAAGGUGAUUCCUCCUUUGAAGCCCUUCGAACUAUCAAUAAUAUUGUGCAUCCUACUUAUAGAUCAACAUGUUAUGCAAUGAGAUUGGUAGAUGAUGAUCGAAAAUUUGUUGAUGCUAGGCUACAUCAAUGUUGGUUUGUGUUUUCUAACCUGGUGUUUUAAUUUUUCCCUCCAGGAAUUAAAUUCUCAUUAUUGGAAAAAGAGAACGAAGCUUUAAAAGUUAUAAACAAUUUCCUUUGCAACAAUGGAAGAUUAUUGGGUGAUUACCCUGAAUUCUUAGCUCCUUUUGACAAUGGUCCUUUUGACUUUGCUAAUACUUUGAUUUUGGAAGAAUUAAAUGUUGAUAGGCAAUUUCUCUAUUUACAGGUAAGUGAAUUAAUUUCCAAGUUGACAACAGAACAAUAUUAUAUUUUCCAUCAUGGCAUUGAUAGUUUGUCAAGUCAAGAUGCAAAAUUUUUCUUUGUUUAUGGUUUUGGUGGCAUUGGGAAAACAUAUUUGUGGAAUUGUUUGAGUACUUAUUUGAAAUCUCAAGGUGAAAUUGUGUUAA